rnacentral:rRNA from 1 species
UACGGAGGGUGCGAGCGUUGUCCGGAAUCACUGGGCGUAAAGGGCGCGUAGGCGGCGCGGAAAGUCGUCGGUGAAAGCUCGGGGCUCAACCCUGAGUCUGCCGGUGAUACUCCCGCGCUCGAGCGCACUAGAGGCAGAUGGAAUUCCGGGUGUAGCGGUGGAAUGCGUAGAGAUCCGGAAGAACACCGGUGGCGAAGGCGGUCUGCUGGGGUGAGGCUGACGCUGAUGCGCGACAGCGUGGGGAGCAAACAGG